GGAUUUGUGGCUUAAUGGUAGAGCACUCACCUAGCAUGUGUGAGGCACUGGAUUCGAUCCCCAGCACCA
rnacentral:tRNA from 1 species